UACGAAGGGGGCUAGCGUUGUUCGGAUUUACUGGGCGUAAAGCGCACGUAGGCGGAUUGGUCAGUUAGGGGUGAAAUCCUGGAGCUCAACUCCAGAACUGCCUUUAAUACUGCCAGUCUCGAGUCCGGAAGAGGUAAGUGGAACUCCUAGUGUAGAGGUGGAAUUCGUAGAUAUUAGGAAGAACACCGGUGGCGAAGGCGGCCUGCUGGGCAGUUGCUGACACUGAGGCGCGACAGCGUGGGGAGCAAACAGG
rnacentral:rRNA from 1 species